AUGGAGAAAGACUUUCCUCUGGCUCCUCCUGUUCUUCUGACACUCUUGCCUCCAUCCACUGAGGCUCUGAAGGAGAGUAAAGCUACACUUGUGUGUCUGGCUGAGGAUAUUUCUGUAGAGAAACAACAAGACAAAACCUUCAAAAUGAGCAGCUCUCUGACCAUCGACUCCUCGGACUGGACCGAUAACGUGGAUUUCUCAUGUGAAGUGUCAGUGGGCUCAAAAUUCACUAAGAAAAGUAUCUCAAACUCAAAGUGUUAUUGA